rnacentral:rRNA from 1 species
GACGAACGCUGGCGGCGUGCUUAACACAUGCAAGUCGAACGGAAAGGCCCUGCUUUUGUGGGGUGCUCGAGUGGCGAACGGGUGAGUAACACGUGAGUAACCUGCCCUUGACUUUGGGAUAACUUCAGGAAACUGGGGCUAAUACCGGAUAGGAGCUCCUGCUGCAUGGUGGGGGUUGGAAAGUUUCGGCGGUUGGGGAUGGACUCGCGGCUUAUCAGCUUGUUGGGGGGGUAGUGGCUUACCAAGGCUUUGACGGGUAGCCGGCCUGAGAGGGUGACCGGCCACAUUGGGACUGAGAUACGGCCCAGACUCCUACGGGAGGCAGCAGUGGGGAAUAUUGCACAAUGGGCGGAAGCCUGAUGCAGCAACGCCGCGUGCGGGAUGACGGCCUUCGGGUUGUAAACCGCUUUCGCCUGUGACGAAGCGUGAGUGGCGGUAAUGGGUAAAGAAGCACCGGCUAACUACGUG